UACAGAGGUCUCGAGCGUUGUUCGGAUUCAUUGGGCGUAAAGGGUGCGUAGGUGGCGAGGCAAGUCUGGUGUGAAAUCCCGGGGCUCAACCCCGGAACUGCACUGGAUACUACUUUGCUAGAGUACUGGAGAGGAGAUUGGAAUUUACGGUGUAGCAGUGAAAUGCGUAGAUAUCGUAAGGAAGACCAGUGGCGAAGGCGAAUCUCUGGACAGUUACUGACACUGAGGCACGAAGGCCAGGGGAGCAAACGGG
rnacentral:rRNA from 1 species